ensembl:lncRNA
GUGCUGAGCCCGGCCUUGGGGUCCGCUUCUCCCCAACAGCUGCUCCCUGCCCUCUCUGAGGUCUCGCCGACUGCAGCCCUUUUGUGUCAGAACGAAUUUUCUGCACAGUCAUUCCGCUCGCUGACCAGCAACAUGUUAUCCCUGCGGCCUGCCUGAUGAUUUGAGGAAAAGAAUUGAGAGUCCUACUGAAUCUCCAUACAAGUGACAGUCUCACAAGGCAAGGUAAGGCAUUUCAGCCAUGAACCUUCCUAUGGGUGAAGAAAACAUUCCUCUUUGGUCUCUGCUAUUUCUGGCACCAACAUACAGUUAGUGAGACACCUCACUUGCUUCUGAACCUGCAAAUGCGAAAAAGCCAGCAAAAGUGGCAAGGAUCAAACUCAGGUCCUCGCGCUUGGGAGGCAGGCGGCGGCACCGCUGAGCUAAAUCCCCGGCCCCCAUACUACUCUUUUCUGUGCCUGUUUUGAAAACAGUACAACUUGGAAAGGACCUUUCCACGACCUGCACCUGCCAAGCUUGUGUUGACCUGCGUGGAGCUGGGAGCGAUAGAUGAGCUGUACGCGCGGCUCGGCCAACAGGAAAUACGUCAUCAGACUGCGCAGCAGGCUCGGCCGCGGGCGCUCUGGAAGGUGACAUUCUGGCGAGAACAGUGGCCGGCUGGGGUCAAACCUCAUCGGGUCCGCGGGGUUGCGGGGCUAUGUCAUUUAUCUAAGUUUCGCUUUCGUUACAGGACAGAGACGCUUUGUGGGUUUUGUUCGUUUUGUUUUGGCCUUCCAUUUUUAUGUUUAGGAUUUAGUUUCUUGUCUUUUAAAAACGUGAAUUAGGGCCGGAGAUUUAGCUCAGUGGCACUGCACCGGCCUCACAAGAGCAAGGUCCUGAGUUAGAUCCCCAGUACCAAAAAACAAACAAACAACAAAAACCGCGGAUUAGCCGGGCGUGGUGGCGCACGGCACGCCUGUAACCUCAGCACUGGAGGUUGAGGCUGGAGGAUAUCAGUGAGUUUAAACCCAGGCUGCACUACAGAGUGAGACGCUGUGUCAAACAAACAUACAAACACCCCCCCCCCCGCAAAAAACCCCCCAGCAAAUUAGCAUCCAC